rnacentral:sRNA from 1 species
UGAAUUAUAGGGCGUCUACUUGUAGAGCCUGACCUCCACUUCUAACACUGUGCACUUGAUGGCGAGGUAAUGGAACUUUCGAGUGAAACUACCUUGCGGCUUCAUUUUAAACAUUAGUCAAAGUAUGUCAUGAAAUAAAAAACAAAAAAAAACUUUCAACAACGGAUCUCUUGGCUCUCGCAUCGAUGAAGAACGCAGCGAAAUGUGAUAAGUAAUGUGAAUUGCAGAAUUCAGUGAAUCAUCGAAUCUUUGAACGCACCUUGCGCUCCCUGGUAUUCCGGGGAGCAUGCCUGUUUGAGUGUCAUGAACUCUUCAACCCACCAGUUUCUAGUAGACUGCGUUGGUGUUUGGAUUUUGAGCGUUGCUAGUCUGACUAGCUCGUUCGUAAUAUAUUAGCAUCUCUAAUUCGAAUUCGGAUUGACUCAGUGUAAUAGACUAUUCGCUGAGGACACUUUUAUUAGUGGCCGUACUAGAACCAGUAGAAGCUUCCAACUAUUGUAGUCAACUUUAAUUUAGACCUCAGAUCAGGCAGGAUUACCCGCUGAACU